CCGGGCUGAACCAAGUGGACCCAGGGACCCAGGAGAACAUGGCAUCCUUUAAGAAGAUGCUCAGGGGGCUGCUGGAGGAGGCCUCCUCUGUCUACAGCACCAUUGGCAUCUUGAAGGAGCUCCACAGGUAUAUUGAAUCAGAGGAGCCCCGGCUGCAGGCUCUGGGCCGAGAAGCCUACGCCUACGUCCUGCAGCAUGUGGCCAGACUGCCCAAUGUGGAACUGACCACACACAAGGCUCUCUUGCGCAUUGAAGAUGAC